AUGGGGAAUGGGUCACAUGCUUCUGUUCGUGGCAUUGGCACGGUGGAUCUGAAGUUUACUUCGGGAAAGAUCGUGCAACUAAGGAACGUGCAGCAUGUCCCUACUAUGAACAAGAAUCUAGUUAGCGGCUCCCUUCUAUGUCGAGAUGGAUUUAAGGUAGUUUUAGAGUCCAAUAAAGUAAUCGUGUCAAGAUUUGGACAAUUUAUAGGAAAAGGCUAUGAGUGCGGAGGCUUGUUCCGCUUUUCUCUUUCAGAUUUUUGCAAUAAGUCAAUAAACCAAAUUUGUGCUAGUGUUAAAGAUGAUGCAAGUAGUUGGCACUCUCGUUUAUGUCAUAUUAAUUUUGGUUUAAUGUCUCGGCUAUCCAGCAUGAGUUUAAUUCCAACCUUCACAAUUGCCAAAGGUUCUAAGUUCCAUAGUUGUGUGCAAUCUAAGCAACCUCGGAAGCCUCAUGAGGCUGCCGAGGAGAGAAACUUGGCACCUCUAGAACUCAUACAUUCUGAUCUUUGUGAGAUGAAUGAUGUGUUGACAAAAGGUGGAAAGAGAUAUUUCAUGACUUUGAUUGAUGAUGCGACUAGAUUUUGCUAUGUUUAUUUGUUGCAAACUAAAGAUGAAGCAUUAGACUACUUUAAAAUCUAUAAAGCUGAAGUUGAAAAUCAACUAGAGAGAAAGAUCAAGCGUCUUAGGUCCGAUCGUGGUGGAGAGUAUUUUCCAAAAGUUUUUGAUGAAUUUUGUGAGGAACAUGGUAUUAUUCAUGAGAGGACGCCUCCCUAUUCACCUCGAUCAAAUGGAGUGGCCGAGAGGAAAAACCGCACAUUGACUGACUUGGUGAAUGCCAUGUUAGACACUGCUGGUUUAUCUAAGGCAUGGUGGGGGGAGGCUCUAUUGACUUCAUGUCAUGUCCUGAAUAGAGUUCCCAAUAAUAAUAAAGAGAAAACCCCUUAUGAGGAGUGGGUUGGGAGAAAACCAUCACUUUCUUAUUUGUGCACUUGGGGAUGUUUGGCAAAGGUCAAUAUUCCUAUUCCUAAGAAACGCAAACUUGGACCAAAGACAGUGGAUUGUGUCUUUCUAGGGUAUGCUCAACGGAGCAUUGCUUAUAGGUUUUUAGUGGUAAAAUCUGAAGUACCUGAUAUGCAUGUUGAUACUAUAAUGGAAUCUCGUGAUGCAACAUUUUUUGAGAACAUAUUUCCUAUGAAAGAUAUGCAUAGCAUUGCUAGAUUUUCUUCUGAGAUAAUUCCUGAAUCUAGUACAACUGAUGAAUAUUUCGAACAAUCACAUGAGGAAGUCCUUGAGAAGGAUAACAAUGAAGUUCCUAGAAGGAACAAGAGACAAAGGAUUGCAAAAUCCUUUGGUGAUGAUUUCAUUGUAUACCUUGUGGACGACACACCCAAGACGAUUGCAGAAGCAUAUGCAUCUCCGGAUGUAGAUGAUUGGAAAGAAGCUGUUCAUAAUGAGAUGGACUCAAUUCUUUCUAAUGGAACUUGGGAACUAACUGAUAGACCAUAUGGUUGUAAACCUGUGGGCUGUAAGUGGGUGUUCAAAAAGAAGCUAAAGCCUGAUGAUACUAUUGAUAAAUACAAGGCGUGGCUAGUGGCCAAGGGCUACACUCAGAAAGAAGGCGAAGAUUACUUUGACACCUAUUCACCCGUUGCUAGAAUGACCACCAUUCGAGUGUUACUUUCCUUGGCUGCCUCUUAUGGUCUUAUCAUUCAUCAAAUGGAUGUAAAGACAGCUUUUCUCAAUGGAGAGUUGGAAGAGGAGAUCUAUAUGGAUCAGCCUGACGGGUUUGUGGUAAAGGGAUUUGUCAUUAACGAGGCUGAUAGGUGUGUUUACUAUCGCCAUGGUGGGGGCAAUAGUGUCAUAUUAUGUUUGUAUGUGGACGACAUACUGAUCUUUGGUACAAACAUUAAUGCAAUUAAUGAGUCUCACUAUGUUGAGAAGGUCUUGAACCGAUUCGGUUUUAUGGAUAGCAAGUCUUCUCCAACACCUUAUGAUCCCAGCGUGACACUCAGAAAGAACAAGAAAGAAACGAGAGAUCAAUUAAGAUACUCUCAAAUUGUCGGUUCACUCAUGUACUUAGCUAGCGCUACAAGACCAGAUAUCUCUUUUGCUGUGAGCAAACUGAGUAGGUUCAUGUCCAACCCGGGUGAUGAUCAUUGGCAUGCACUAGAAAGGGUCUUGCGCUAUCUGAGAGGUACUAUGAGUUACGGAAUUACUUAUUCAGGGCAUCCUGCUGUGCUAGAAGGAUAUAGUGAUUCAAAUUGGAUCUCCGAUGUUGAUGUACUUUACGCAACAAGUGGGUAUGUAUUUACUCAUGGUGGUGGCGCAGUGUCAUGGAGGUCUUGCAAGCAAACCAUAUUGACGAGGUCAACUAUGGAAGCAGAAUUAACUGCUUUGGACGCAGCUACUGUUGAGGCAGAAUGGCUGCGUGAGCUCUUGAUGGACUUGCCGGUUGUUGAAAAAACUGUACCGGCUAUUCUUAUGAAUUGUGAUAAUCAAACGGUUAUCGCUAAAGUGAACAGUUCUAAAGAUAAUGCAAAGUCAUCAAGACACGUGAAAAGACGUUUGAAGUCUGUCAGGAAGUUGAGAAACUCCGGAGUAAUAACUGUUACGUAUAUACAAAUAGAUAAAAACCUGGCAGAUCCCUUUACAAAGGGACUAUCACGAAAUGUGAUAGAUAUUGCAUCGAGGGAGAUGGGUAUGAGACCCAUA
rnacentral:rRNA from 1 species